rnacentral:rRNA from 1 species
CAGUAGCCACGGUAAUACGUAGGGUGCAAGCGUUAAUCGGAAUUACUGGGCGUAAAGCGUGCGCAGGCGGUUUGUUAAGACAGAUGUGAAAUCCCCGGGCUCAACCUGGGAACUGCAUUUGUGACUGGCAAGCUAGAGUAUGGCAGAGGGGGGUGGAAUUCCGCGUGUAGCAGUGAAAUGCGUAGAUAUGCGGAGGAACACCGAUGGCGAAGGCAGCCCCCUGGGCCAAUACUGACGCUCAUGCACGAAAGCGUGGGGAGCAAACAGGAUUAGAUACCCGUGUAGUCCCUGUCUCUUAUAC